GAUGAACGCUGGCGGCGUGCCUAAUACAUGCAAGUCGAGCGAACGGACGAGAAGCUUGCUUCUCUGAUGUUAGCGGCGGACGGGUGAGUAACACGUGGAUAACCUACCUAUAAGACUGGGAUAACUUCGGGAAACCGGAGCUAAUACCGGAUGAUAUUUUGAACCGCAUGGUUCAAAAGUGAAAGACGGUCUUGCUGUCACUUAUAGAUGGAUCCGCGCUGCAUUAGCUAGUUGGUAAGGUAACGGCUUACCAAGGCAACGACGCAUAGCCGACCUGAGAGGGUGAUCGGCCACACUGGAACUGAGACACGGUCCAGACUCCUACGGGAGGCAGCAGUAGGGAAUCUUCCGCAAUGGGCGAAAGCCUGACGGAGCAACGCCGCGUGAGUGAUGAAGGUCUUCGGAUCGUAAAACUCUGUUAUUAGGGAAGAACAUAUGUGUAAGUAACUGUGCACAUCUUGACGGUACCUAAUCAGAAAGCCACGGCUAACUACGUG
rnacentral:rRNA from 1 species